rnacentral:rRNA from 1 species
UACGUAGGGUGCGAGCGUUGUCCGGAAUUAUUGGGCGUAAAGGGCUCGUAGGCGGUUUGUCGCGUCGGGAGUGAAAACCCAGGGCUUAACCCUGGGCUGGCUUCCGAUACGGGCAGACUAGAGGUAUGCAGGGGAGAACGGAAUUCCUGGUGUAGGCGGUGAAAUGCGCAGAUAUCAGGAGGAACACCGGUGGCGAAGGCGGGUCUCUGGGCCGAUACUGACGCUGAGGAGCGAAAGCGUGGGGAGCGAACAGG